rnacentral:rRNA from 1 species
AACGAACGCUGGCGGCAUGCCUAACACAUGCAAGUCGAACGAGACCUUCGGGUCUAGUGGCGCACGGGUGCGUAACGCGUGGGAACCUGCCCUUAGGUUCGGAAUAACUCCCCGAAAGGGGUGCUAAUACCGGAUAAUGUCUUCGGACCAAAGAUUUAUCGCCUUUGGAUGGGCCCGCGUUGGAUUAGCUAGUUGGUAGGGUAAAAGCCUACCAAGGCGACGAUCCAUAGCUGGUCUGAGAGGAUGAUCAGCCACACUGGGACUGAGACACGGCCCAGACUCCUACGGAGGGCGGCAGUGGGGAAAAUUGAACAAUGGGCGAAGGCCUGAUCCAGCAAUGCCGCGUGAGUGAUGAAGGCCUUAGGGUUGUAAAGCUCUUUUACCCGGGAUGAUAAUGACAGUACCGGAGAAUAAGCUCCGGCUAACUCCGUG